UUUUUUUUUUUUUUUUUUUUGCAGCCACACCUGCAGCAUAUGGAAGUUCCUGGGCUAGGACCUGCACCUGCCGGCCUAUCCCACAGCCACGGCAACACCAGAUCCCAGCUGCAUCUGUGACCUAUGCCACAGCUCUCUGCAACACCAGGUCCUUAGCCCACUGAGCAAGGCCAAGGGAUCAAACCUGUAUCCUCACAGAUACCAGUCUGAUUUGUAACCUGCUGAGCCACAAUGGGAACUCCAACAUACAUAUAUUUGUCAUAUAUGUCAAAUAUGUCAUAUAUAUGUCUACUUAAGCAGCGGCUUGAUGUGGAAUCAGUUCCCAGACCAGGGAUUGAACCUGGGGAUGCAGUGGUGAAAGUGUGGGUACUAGAGCACCAGGAAACACCCAGACCAAUAUAUUUUGCUAUAUAUUUUCACAGUUCGAUCUACAGGCUCACUUAACAUUUAGGAAUCUUUAUGGGACAAGCACUAAGUAAAGGCAAAAUAGCUCACAGCAAUGCGCUGUCAUCAUUUAUGGCAAUAUGCAUGAAUAUUGCGAUAUUGUGACAAAUUGGUACAUUUGCUUAAUGGAAACUAACUCAUCGUCGUCAUCAUCAUCAAAAAAGAGAAGAUACAAGAACAACUCACCGAUUAAAAAAAGACAAGGGAGUUCCCAUUGUGGCUCAGCAGGUUACAAGGCAGACGAGUAUCCACGAGGAUGUGGAUUCUCUCUCUUGGCCGUGCUCAGUGGGUUAAGGACCUGGUGUUGCAGCGAGCUGUGGUGUAGGUCGCAGGUGCAGCUGGGAUCCACUGUGCUGUGGCAGCUGCAGCUCCGAUUCAAUCCCUGGCCUGAGAACUUCCAUAUGCUGCACAGGUGUGGCCAAAAAAAAAAAAAAAUGAAGUUUUCGAAGAAAUGGGGGUGGAGGUCUAACCACACUCCAUAAAACAGAAUAUUUUUAGAUUUGUGUAAAGAGUUCCUGUUUUCACAGCUCUUGGGCCUUUUGGGAUUUCCUCCCCUACCAUGACGAAUUUAUUGAUAAAAAUGAAACCUCUUAUCUAACUCUUGAUAUAAAUGCAGUAUAAAGUAUACAGAACCAGUCAGUUUAAGAAGCCAACUGCAGUGGCUUGGGUUUGAUCCCUGGCCUGUGAGAUGCUGUGAGUUAAAGGAUCCGGCAUUGCUGCAGCUGUGGUGCAGGUCACAGCUAUGGCUCGGAUUCAGUCCCUGGCCUGGGUACUUCCAUAUGCCAAGAGUGCAGCCAUAAAAAAAAAAAAAGAAAGAAAGAAAAAUAUCUACUUAAAGCAACAUAUGGUACGCUUUGCAUUUACAUAAAGGAGGUGUGUAAAUAUUUUUGCAACUUACCGGUUCUUCCCUAACACUUUUGAGAUUUCUGUGUACAUUUUGAUAUGUGGCUACAGUUUGUUUUCAGUGCUCUGUAGUCGUCUUUUGUAUGGGUAUACCACAAGAUACUUACCCAUUUUCCUGCUGAUGCUUAGGUUGUUUUCAGUUUUUCAGUAUUAUAAACACUACAGCGUGGACCAGUUUUAUGAAUGCGUAUAUUACCAGAGUAUCUGCAUCUUUAAUUUUACUAGGGAUUGCUCUCCAGAACGACUGGACCAAUUCUCAGGCUCCUACUUUUUCCUAGAUCUGAUAGGACUGAAGUGGUAAUUCAUUGUUUAUUGUCUCAUGAAGAAUACUUUACACACAAUGAACUGUGCAAUUUGAUGAUCUUUGACUACUGUAUUCACCUGUGAAAUCAUUGCUGGAAACUUCCUCAGGCCUCUAGGCAAACCGUCUCCCCCAACCACCUCAGUCCCCAAGCAGUCACUGGACUGUUUAACAAUGACUUCCUUUUUCACUUUAGAAAAUUUUCUAUAAAAGGAACCAUAUGCCAUGUUCUCUCUGUCUGGCUUCUUUUAUAAGCAUCAUGAUUCCGAACUUCAUCCAGGUUCCUGGGGUUAUCAGUCAUUGUUUCCUUUUUAUUGUGUGGAUGUAUUGUUUGCUUAUCUAUUCACCUCUUGGUGAAUUUGGGUCAUUUCCAGGUUGGGGUAUUACUAAAAAGGCUGCUAUGGACAUUGCUACGCAGCCGUCUGCUUCCAGUUCUCUUGAGUGAGUGGAAGAGGAGGAAUGGCUGGGUGCUGUGGGAGGUAUAUGCUUAACUUUCCUUAUUGUGGGUUUAUUUCCAGUUCCCUUAUGAUAAUGGGGAGCAUCUUUUUAUGUGCUUAUUGGCCAUUCAUUUAUCUUAUCUUGUGAAGUGUCCAUUUAAAAUUCUUUCGUUCAUUUCUUAAAUGAGUUAUUUUACUGCUUAUUCUUGAGGCAUGUAAUCUUUUUAUAUAUUAUGGAGUUCUGGAUACAGAUUAUCAGAUAUAUCUGUCAAUUUUUUCCCCCAGUUUGUGACUAGAAAUUUUAUUUUCUUAAGUGUCUUUUGAUGAGCAAAAGUUUUUGGUUUUGGGAGUUCCCGUUGAGGCUCAGUGGAUAAUGAAUCUGACUAGGAACCAUGAGGUUGCAGGUUUGAUCCCUGGCCUCGCUCGGUGGGUUGGGGAUCUGGGCAUUGCCGAGAGCUGUGGUGUAGGUUGCAGAUGCGGCUCGGAUCCGGCAUUGCUGUGGCUCUGGUGUAGACGGGCAGCAAUAGCUCCGAUUAGACCCCCAGCCUGGGAACCUCCAUAUGCUGUGGGUACGGCCCUAGAAAAGACAAAAAAAAAAAAGAGGUUUUUAGUUUUGAUGUUAUUAAUUUUUUCUUUUAUGGUUUGUAUACCACUUGUUAUCUAAGAAAUCUUUAUAAAAACAAGGUCGCUAAGUUUUUCUCCUAUUUUCUUCUAAAAGUUUUAGCUCAUAUAUUUAGGUUUCUGCACGGACUGAAGGUGAAAGUUCACUGUGAGCGUGUUUGAUGGUUAUGGCAGCAUUUGUUGAAAAGACUACCCUUUCCAUUGAAUUGCCCUGGCACCUUUGUUGAAAAUCAGUUUAUCGUGUGUGCAGUGUUUCUUUCUAGAUUUGCUAUUCUGUGUCACUGAUGUAUAUGUUUAUCUUUACCCCAAUUAUCACUGUCUUGAUGGCUGUAGCUUUCUAAGUUCUGAGAGCAGGUAGCAUGUAAAUCCUCCAACUUUUAUUCUUGUCUCACAGUUUGGCCAAAACAUUUCUAGAUACCUUUUAUUUUAUUUUUGCCACAUGUACAGUGGCUUGAUAUGAGAUCUCUGUUCUCAGACCAGGGAUUGAACUGGGGUCAUAGUGGUGAAAGCUCCAGAUCCUAACCACUAGACCACCAGGGAACUCCCUUCCAUGUACAUUUUAGAAUUAGCUUGUCAAUUAAAAAAAAAAAAUCAGAUGGGAUUCUGAUUGUGUUGAAAUUAUAGACAAACUUGGAAGCAUCGACAUCUUGAUAUUGUUUUGAUACAGUCACAGUAUUGCCUUCCAUUCAUUUCAAUCUUUAAUUUUUCUCAAUGCUCUUUUUAUAGUUGGUGUGGGGAGUUGCACAGUUUUUGGUCAGACUUAUUCCUAGGAAUCUGGUAUGUUCUGCUGCUGCUGUAAAUGGUAUCUUUAAAAUUUUUCUUCUUCUAACUAAUGAUGCUGGUAUAUAAACCUUGCAAAAUUCAUUUAUUAAUUCAAAUAGUGGUAGAUUCUUUGUAGUUUUCUACAUACAUAAUUAUGUCAUCUGUAAAUAAUAACAAUUUUCCUUCUUUCCGAUUCUCAGUCCUUUUAUCUCUUUCUUGCCUUUACUGCACUGGUUAUGCUCGCCAGUACAUUACUGAAUAUAAAUUGUGAAAGUAGGCGUUCUUGUCAUAUUACUGAUCUGAGGGAGAAAGUGUGGAAAGCAGAAUAGUGGUCCCCAAAGAUCUCUCUAUGUCCUGAUCUCUAGAAUUUGUGAAUAUGUUCCAUAGCAAAGGGGAUUUAAAAUUGAAGAUUAAGGGUAAAAAUUAAGAUUAAAAUUGAAACCAAGGGGAAGUUCCUGUCAUGGUGCAGCAGAAAUGACGCAUAUCCAUGAGGGUGCAGGUUCCAUCCCUGGCCUCAAUCAGUGGGUUGGGGAUCUGGCGUUGCUGUGAGCUGUGGCGUAGGUUGGCAGCUAUAGCUCCGAUUCGAUCCCUAGCCUGGGAAUUUCCAUAUCCC
rnacentral:lncRNA from 1 species